rnacentral:pre_miRNA from 1 species
AUCACCUGGGAUUUUGUUAAAAAGCAGUUUCUUAUUCAGGGUGGAGACUAAGAUUCUGCCUUUCUAACAAGCUCUCACAUGAGGCUAA